GAUGAACGCUGGCGGCGUGCUUAACACAUGCAAGUCGAACGGUGAAGGCGGAGCUUGCUCUGCUGGAUCAGUGGCGAACGGGUGAGUAACACGUGAGCAAUCUGCCCCUGACUCUGGGAUAAGCGCUGGAAACGGCGUCUAAUACUGGAUACGAGCUGCGAAGGCAUCUUCAGCAGCUGGAAAGAAUUUCGGUCAGGGAUGAGCUCGCGGCCUAUCAGCUUGUUGGUGAGGUAAUGGCUCACCAAGGCGUCGACGGGUAGCCGGCCUGAGAGGGUGACCGGCGACAGGGGGCCAGAGACGCGGCGAAGAGUCCGACGGGAGGAAGCGGUGGAGAAGAUAGCAAACUGGGGAGAAGCAGGAUGAGGCAACGCCGGGUGAGGGACGACUGGGUUCGGGUUGUAACCAUCUAGGGGGAGGGAAGGAGCGAAAGGGACGGUAACAGAAGAAAAAGCGCCCGUUAACUACGUGCCAGCAGCCGCGGUAAGAUUGGGAAGGGCACACGUCUGAAG
rnacentral:rRNA from 1 species